AGCAGCCGCGGUAAUUCCAGCUCCAAUAGCGUAUAUUAAAGUUGUUGCAGUUAAAAAGCUCGUAGUUGAAUUUCGGGGUCAGUAGGUUGGUCAUGCCUCCGGUAUGUACUGGUCUCACUGAUUCCUCCUUCCUGAUGAACCGUAAUGCCAUUAAUUUGGUGUUGCGGGGAGACUGGACUGUUACUUUGAAAAAAUUAGAGUGUUUAAAGCAGGCUAACGCUUGAAUACAUUAGCAUGGAAUAAUGAAAUAGGACGUUCGAUCCUAUUUUGUUGGUUUCUAGGAUUGACGUAAUGAUUAAUAGGGAUAGUUGGGGGCAUUAGUAUUCAAUUGUCAGAGGUGAAAUUCUUGGAUUUAUUGAAGACUAACUACUGCGAAAGCAUUUGCCAAGGAUGUUUUCAUUAAUCAAGAACGAAAGUUAGGGGAUCGAAGACGAUCAGAUACCGUCGUAG
rnacentral:rRNA from 1 species